rnacentral:rRNA from 1 species
AGAACGAACGCUGGCGGCAUGCCUAACACAUGCAAGUCGAACGCUUCCGGGGCUUCGGUCGCGGAGGAGUGGCGCACGGGUGAGUAGCGCGUGGGAACCUGCCCUGUUGUGGGGGAUAACCGAGGGAAACUUCGGCUAAUGCCGCAUACGCCCCGGGACUUGGUCUUCGGAUUAGGUCUGGGGGGAAAGAUUGAUCGCAGCAGGAGGGGCCCGCGUCGGAUUAGCUGGUUGGUGGGGUAACGGCUCACCAAGGCGAUGAUCCGUAGCUGGUCUGAGAGGAUGAUCAGCCACACUGGGACUGAGACACGGCCCAGACUCCUACGGGAGGCAGCAGUGGGGGAAUAUUGGACAAUGGGGGCAACCCUGAUCCAGCAAUGCCGCGUGAGUGAUGAAGGCCUUAGGGUUGUAAAGCUCUUUCGCCCGCGACGAUGAUGACGGUAGCGGGAGAAGAACGCCCCGGCUAACUCGUGCCAGCAGCCGC